AGUGGGAUGACAGAGCGGUAAUGUGCCGGUUUGCUAAACCGUGGCCGUCCUGAGAAGGGAUGUGGGGGUUCGAUCCCCUCUCCCACUGCCA
rnacentral:tRNA from 1 species